UGGUAGUUAAGGACGAUGUGGUAAUUUGAGCGAAGUUGAAACAAGGUAAUAGUAGGGGAACCUGUUGUUGGA
rnacentral:rRNA from 1 species